UACGUAGGGUGCGAGCGUUAAUCGGAAUUACUGGGCGUAAAGCGUGCGCAGGCGGUUGUGCAAGACAGGUGUGAAAUCACCGGGCUUAACCUGGGAACUGCACUUGUGACUGCACAGCUGGAGUGCGGCAGAGGGGGAUGGAAUUCCGCGUGUAGCAGUGAAAUGCGUAGAUAUCGUAAGGAAGACCAGUGGCGAAGGCGGGUCUCUGGACAGUUCCUGACGCUGAGGCACGAAGGCCAGGGGAGCAAACGGG
rnacentral:rRNA from 1 species